rnacentral:rRNA from 1 species
GAUGAACGCUGGCGGCGUGCCUAAUACAUGCAAGUCGAGCGAACGGACGAGAAGCUUGCUUCUCUGAUGUUAGCGGCGGACGGGUGAGUAACACGUGGAUAACCUACCUAUAAGACUGGGAUAACUUCGGGAAACCGGAGCUAAUACCGGAUAAUAUUUUGAACCGCAUGGUUCAAAAGUGAAAGACGGUCUUGCUGUCACUUAUAGAUGGAUCCGCGCUGCAUUAGCUAGUUGGUAAGGUAACGGCUUACCAAGGCAACGAUGCAUAGCCGACCUGAGAGGGUGAUCGGCCACACUGGAACUGAGACACGGUCCAGACUCCUACGGGAGGCAGCAGUAGGGAAUCUUCCGCAAUGGGCGAAAGCCUGACGGAGCAACGCCGCGUGAGUGAUGAAGGUCUUCGGAUCGUAAAACUCUGUUAUUAGGGAAGAACAUAUGUGUAAGUAACUGUGCACAUCUUGACGGUACCUAAUCAGAAAGCCACGGCUAACUACGUGCCAGCAGCCGCGGUAAUACGUAGGUGGCAAGCGUUAUCCGGAAUUAUUGGGCGUAAAGCGCGCGUAGGCGGUUUUUUAAGUCUGAUGUGAAAGCCCACGGCUCAACCGUGGAGGGUCAUUGGAAACUGGAAAACUUGAGUGCAGAAGAGGAAAGUGGAAUUCCAUGUGUAGCGGUGAAAUGCGCAGAGAUAUGGAGGAACACCAGUGGCGAAGGCGACUUUCUGGUCUGUAACUGACGCUGAUGUGCGAAAGCGUGGGGAUCAAACAGGAUUAGAUACCCUGGUAGUCCACGCCGUAAACGAUGAGUGCUAAGUGUUAGGGGGUUUCCGCCCCUUAGUGCUGCAGCUAACGCAUUAAGCACUCCGCCUGGGGAGUACGACCGCAAGGUUGAAACUCAAAGGAAUUGACGGAGACCCGCACAAGCGGUGGAGCAUGUGGUUUAAUUCGAAGCAACGCGAAGAACCUUACCAAAUCUUGACAUCCUUUGACAACUCUAGAGAUAGAGCCUUCCCCUUCGGGGGACAAAGUGACAGGUGGUGCAUGGUUGUCGUCAGCUCGUGUCGUGAGAUGUUGGGUUAAGUCCCGCAACGAGCGCAACCCUUAAGCUUAGUUGCCAUCAUUAAGUUGGGCACUCUAAGUUGACUGCCGGUGACAAACCGGAGGAAGGUGGGGAUGACGUCAAAUCAUCAUGCCCCUUAUGAUUUGGGCUACACACGUGCUACAAUGGACAAUACAAAGGGCAGCGAAACCGCGAGGUCAAGCAAAUCCCAUAAAGUUGUUCUCAGUUCGGAUUGUAGUCUGCAACUCGACUACAUGAAGCUGGAAUCGCUAGUAAUCGUAGAUCAGCAUGCUACGGUGAAUACGUUCCCGGGUCU